ACAACAUAUAAAAUAAUAAACAAUAAAACAAACAUAACAAAUCAAUCUUACAGCAAAAAUAUAUAAAAUCAGCUUCUUAGUGUGACCAUUGGCAAUCACACAAGAUUUAGGAUUAAAUUGCAAUCUAUCUAGAUGUUUUAGGUCAAAUUUUGACCAAACGAUUACAAGUCAGGUUCGAGUGUCCUUACCAGAGUCGGAAUCCGAUUGCGCCAUCCCAAGCAACCGUUGAUUUGGUGUUCGCACUUUUUUCUCUCAAGUUGGCAUUUUUCU
rnacentral:lncRNA from 1 species